rnacentral:lncRNA from 1 species
UGUUAGUCUUGGUAAUUUAUAUUUUUGUAAAUAUUCAUCCAUAUCACCUAAAUUGGUAUAUUUAUUGCCGUAUAAUUGGGCAAAGUAGUUUUUAAUGAUUGCCUUAAUUUCCUCUUUAUUGGAGGCAAGUUCCCCCUUGUCAUCUUUGAUGCUGUUAAUUUGCUUUUCUUCUUUCCUUUUUUUAAAUUAUAUUGACCAUUACUUUGUCUAUUUUGUUUGUUUUCUCAAAGUACCAGCUUCUAGUCUUAUUUAUUAGUUCAAUAGUUCUAUCACUUUCGAUUUUAUUAAUUUCUCCCUUAGUUUUUACAAUCUCUAGUUUGGUUUUCUUCUGGGGGUUUUUCAUUUGUUCACUUUCAACUUUUUUUAUUUGCAUUUCCAAUUCAUUGAUCUCUGCCCUCCCUAAUUUGUUAAUAUAUGCACUCAGGGAUAUGAAUUUUCCCCUGAGUACUGCUUUGGCUGCAUCCCAUAAGGUUUGAAAGGAUGUCUCACCAUUGUCAUUUUCCUCGAUGAAAUUAUUAAUUGUUUCUAUGAUUUGUUCUCUAUCUAAUAGAUUUUGGCGUAUCAUAUUAUUUAAUUUCCAAUUAAUUUUUGAUUUGGCUCUCCACCUUACUGAUCAUUAUUUUUAUUGCCUUAUGAUCUAAAAAGGCUGCAUUUAUUAUUUCUGCUUUUCUGCAUUUGUCUGCCAUGUUUCUGUGACCUGGUGUAUGGUCAAUCUUUGUGAAUGUGUCAUGUGGCGCUGAGAAGAAGGUGUAUUCCUUUUUGCCCCUAUUUAUUUUUUUCCAUAUGUCUAUUAACUCUAAUUUUUCUAAGAUUUCCUUCACAUCUUCUAACUCUUUCUUAUUUAUUUUUUAUUUGAUUUAUCUAAAUUUGAUAGUGUUUUAUUCAGAUCUCCCACUACUAUGGUUUUACUGUCUAUUUCCUCCUUCAGUUCUUCUAGUUUCUCCAUUAGACAUUUGGGUGCUAUACCAUUUGGUGCAUAUAUGUUGAUUAGUGAUAUUUCCUCAUUGUGUAUAGUCCCUUUUAACAAAAUAUAUUUACCUUCCCUAUCUCUUUUAAUCAGGUCUAUUUUUGUUUUGGCUUUGUCAGAUAUCAUGAUUGCAACUCCUGCUGUAUUUCUAUCAGUUGAGGUCCAAAAGGUCUUACUCCAUCCUUCAAUUCUGACCUUAUGA